rnacentral:rRNA from 1 species
GACGAACGCUGGCGGCGUGCUUAACACAUGCAAGUCGUACGGUAAGGCCCUUUCGGGGGUCCACGAGUGGCGAACGGGUGAGUAACACGUGAGUAACCUGCCCACAACUUUGGGAUAACGCUAGGAAACUGGUGCUAAUACUGGAUAUGUGCUCCUGCUGCAUGGUGGGGGUUGGAAAGCUCCGGCGGUUGUGGAUGGACUCGCGGCCUAUCAGCUUGUUGGUGGGGUAGUGGCCUACCAAGGCGGCGACGGAUAGCCGGCCUGAGAGGGUGACCGGCCACAUUGGGACUGAGAUACGGCCCAGACUCCUACGGGAGGCAGCAGUGGGGAAUAUUGCACAAUGGGCGCAAGCCUGAUGCAGCAACGCCGCGUGCGGGAUAACGGCCUUCGGGUUGUAAACCGCUUUCAGCAGGGACGAAGCUUUUUGUGACGGUACCUGCAGAAGAAGCACCGGCUAACUACGUG